rnacentral:tRNA from 1 species
GUCGCUUCAUUUUAAUACAUGCGCCCGUAGCUCAAUUGGAUAGAGCGUCUGACUACGGAUCAGAAGGUUAGGGGUUC